rnacentral:rRNA from 1 species
AAUUCGAAGCAACGCGCAGAACCUUACCAGCUUUUGACAUGUCCUGGACGGAUUGCAGAGAUGCGAUCUUCCCUUCGGGGCCGGGAACACAGGUGCUGCAUGGCUGUCGUCAGCUCGUGUCGUGAGAUGUUGGGUUAAGUCCCGCAACGAGCGCAACCCUCGCCUUUAGUUGCCAUCAUUCAGUUGGGCACUCUAGAGGGACUGCCGGUGAUAAGCCGGGGGAAGGUGGGGAUGACGUCAAGUCCUCACGGCCCUUACAGGCUGGGCUACACGCGUGCUACAAUGGCGGUGACAGAGGGAAGCGAGGGCGCGAGCCGGAGCCAAUCUCGAAAAGCCGUCUCAGUUCGGAUUGCACUCUGCAACUCGAGUGCAUGAAGUCGGAAUCGCUAGUAAUCGCGGAUCAGCACGCCGCGGUGAACACGUUCCCGGGCCUUGUACACACCGCCCGUCACACCAUGGGAGUUGGCUUUACCCGAAGGCGUUUCGCUAACCGAUGAGGGGACGGACGACCACGGUAGGGUCAGCGACUGGGGUGAAGUCGUAACAAGGUAGCCGUAGGGGAACCUGCGGCUGGAUCAC